rnacentral:lncRNA from 1 species
UAUGUGAAUUAAAAUAAUGAUAAGUGCUCUGAAUAAGAUAUUAAUUUAUACAUUAUUUAGCACUUAUCACACCCCCAAACCUACAUUUUGCUAGUCCUCAAGCAAAAUAAAAACUAACUCACUUUCGCAGGAAUCGCGAUUGCAUUUACCGUAUGCAAUAAGGCUUUAAACCCCUAGGUGGCCCUAGUGGACGAGUUUUGUCUCGUGAGGGUUUCUGGCUCAGAUACCCACAAACUGCUGUCGAAAGAAUUUAUUUUAUUAUUUUAUAAAAUCUAAUUUCAAAUGCAUUAAUGCCAAGAAUUUCAAAAGCACACAAAGUUUUAAUUACUA